ACUAACUUGCAUAGUGAUAGUUUUUUUCAUCUUUUGUCAUGUGCAAUAAGAGCAAGAGGUGAGAACAUAAUGCAAAGAAGCCUACCAUGAUCAAUUUUGUUCGCAACAUGGUCUAUGUGAGUGGCUUAAUUCCUGACAUGGCAUGGGCCAUUCCUACGUGGCAUAUAAAGAAUGGAUGUGAAAUGGACAUUCGACAAUGACACGUGGCAUGGAGGCCAGCAUUCCCCCUUGAGUUGUACCCUAAACUCGUUGCAAGCUAUGGCAGAAAUGGAAGAGCUUGUGGAGUUCAUUGACGACAUAGAUGGGGCAGAGAGUCAUGAAUUUUACCUUUGUGAUGGUAGAGUGGGCGUAGAUGCGGUUCAGAGGGUGUUCUCGGCUAACUCCAUCUCCGUGAUGAGGGUCCGAUGAAGAACUCUUGAACCAAGAAAAGAAGAUGGUCUCAGCAAAGUGAAAUUUCGGGCUGGAUCUUCUCAUGUCAUUCGUCCCACGAGAGAAACAGGCAUUACAAAAACAGCAGAAACAGAUAUUACAGAAGCAGACAUUACACAUCCGUGUGACGCUUAUAUCUCUCUCAAACGUCCGGCAGUAGCACAGUACGAGUCACGUUACAAGGCAAGGUUCCCUUCUGCUCGGACACUCGUUCCAUCCUUCCCAAUUGCUGGAAAUUCCUGCAAAGAAUUGCUAUGCAAUGUUCUUGAAUCUUGACCCAAUUCUUGAUGUGGGUUGUUGAAAUCUCUCAAUCUCCCACUGGCUUUGUUCUCUGCUUGCUGCUGCUUGUUGCUCAGCACCUUUACACAGCCUGGUGCCUUGGUGCAACGCCUCAAGCGUCCCAAACAUUGCAAGAGGGAUUGCAAUCGGGAGGCUCAUCCUCCUCCUCGUCACUGGCCUCCUGGCCAGCAAGCGCCAUUCUCAGGAUCAAGGAACCCAGGGCUCCGAUACCAUGUUAGCAGCGGAGAGACGCGCACACGAGGAGGAAGAACUGUAUAUAUAUAUAUAACUGUAUAUGAUUGUGUACAUAUACAUAAAGCUACUGCCACGUGGGCAUAACAACUGCCA